UCAAUUGGAUUAGAGGAGGGAUUUCACUGUGGUAUUAAUCUGACAAGACAGCAGCCGGCCACCCGAGUUGGACUCAAACGGAGCUGGGUUGUAGCGCCUGUCACGCUCGCUCCACUGCUUGACUGCAAUCAGGAUGAACCUGUUCUGCUUCUCCUUGGAGGGUUCAAUGGACAGCCUGUAUGAGGCUGCGCAGACCUCCGGCGACAGCCCCCCUCAACCCAUUCCGAGCCGUUCAUGCAGCCGCUCGUGCAGCCCGGCGCUCCUGCUGGACGACGAUGCGAGGUGGAGGGGUUCCGGAAGGUCUAUUUCUAUGGAAAUGACAAUGAGGCCAGGCACCAACGCUCAUAAAAAGAAAAUAAGAACACAAGUAUCCAAAUCCGCAUCAGACAAUGAAACGCUGGAUAACGCUGUUCAUAAUGUGGCGCUUUGGAAGGCUGCCAAGAGCCCAGAAGAUUUAGUCCACAUUGCCAACAACCACAAUGAAGUGAUGAAGAGGACGAAGCACAGAGGGGACAGCAAAGGAGGGAAAUCACCUCAUCAUUCUGGUACCAAAAAAAGGGACAAAAAUUCCCCAAGUCAGAACAUCAACACCAAAGGAGCGGCAACAGAAGCUAAACCAGCAGCAAAAAGGAACCAAAAACCUGGAAAGAAAACAACUGGAAAGAAUGGAAAAGAGGGGGCGAAGAAAAGUCACAAUACUAUUGUGCAUCCCCCAGCAGGACCCUCAAGUCCCCCCAUGGGCCCACACUACCUGAAUGUGCCCUACAGGUCCGAAAGGAGGAUCUACUUGGGCAAGUCCUCCACCCUUCCCACACAGGAAAACACAACUCCAGGCCGCUGCACCGACAUGAUCAGCCUGUCUGGUGGUGCGACUCCUACUCACUACCACAAUCACAGCCAUAACCAGCGCUGGAGCAACCUGGCUGACAACAGUCCCACCUGGGGCACCGUCCAGCACACAUGCCGCAGGCCGCUCACGGAGUACCGCCUGUCCUCCAGCGACUUCAGCCUGCUUCACGGGAAGAAGAUGCAACAGCACGAAGACGAGGACGGCAGCCUGAGUGCAAACUGUAAACCCCUGAUUCCCUCAAAUGUGACGCGGUCCGUCACUGACUUGGAUCUGUCAGAACCCAACCGCUCCACAAGCUUUGGGAGAUUUGAAGGUCUCAGACAUAAUCCAUCUGCAGCCAAAGCAGAAGAGAAUGGAGCAAAUAUGUUACCUGAAGAAUGCGAGAGCUUGGAACCAAACAAGUCAGCUGGGAUUGGGAAGAAAAUGAAGGCCAUUUCACUGACCAUGCGCAGAAAAAUGGGCAAAAAACACGCCAAAUCCUUUUCUGAGGAGAUGGGUGAUGACACAGAGACAGAGAUUACACCUGCAACUGAAAAGAACUCGACAAGGGACAGCAACUCCUUGGAAAGUCUUUACAGCGGCCAAAGUUCCUCAAGCGGUGUAACCAGCGAGUCCAAUGGUUCUGGUCAGAGGGACAGUCUGAGGUUGGAGGAGGACGGUUCCUAUCAGGGUCAGUUCUGUGGCAGAGCUCGUGUCCACACAGACUUCGUCCCCAGCCCUUACGACACGGACUCCCUCAAACUUAAGGCUGGUGACAUUAUCAGCAUCAUCGCUAAGCCUCCAAUGGGCAUCUGGACAGGCAUGCUCAACAACAGGGUGGGAAACUUCAAGUUCAUCUAUGUGGAUGUUUUGGUGGAGAAGGAGGAAAAAGAAGAAGGAGGAGAAGAUGAUGAUGACGAUGACGAUGACGAUGCUCCCAAGAUACGACAACAGAAAUUGUGCAAAAGACCUCGACCCAAAACGUUGCUGGAGCUAUUGGAGCGCUUGAAUCUGGAGGAGUACGCCUCUGCCCUGCUGCUCAAUGGCUACCAGACGGUGGAGGACCUUACCCACCUUCAGGAAAAACAUCUCCUCGAGCUCAACGUCAAAGACCCCGAGCACAGACGCAAGCUGCUGGCUGCCUCCCAGUUGCACUACUCAGAAGACCUUACACGACUCACUGACACAAGGGGAGACCUGCUAACCAUCGAGGAGUCUACUCCGGACUUUCUGUCACCAACUUUCGAAUAUCCGCUCAGUUUUUUUCCCCGAGUUACUCACCGGAGCGGCGCCCGUGGUUUUCGGCGCAUGGAGACGGAAGCGGCGCUACAGAGGGAAACGAGCCGGCAUUCAGACCAGAAAAGACUUCGGACGUUCCGCGGCCAUGUGCUUCACGGAGACCUGGCUUUGCGACACCGUACCCGAUGUCGCCGUCAUGCUUCCCGGCUUCCACAUUCAUCAAGCGGACCGCGACAUGGAAUCAUCAGGGAAAACAAAGGGCGGCGGGAUAUGCCUCUAUAUCAACGAAAAUGGUGUACGGACGUCACGGUGCUCAGCACACACUGCAGCCCGCAUUUGGAGUCGCUAUUCUUAAACUGUAAACCAUUCUACUCGCCACGUGAGUUUGCAUCAUUCAUACUGGCUGGAGUCUAUAUUCCGCCUCAAGCUAACACGAACGCCGCAUUGCUAACGCUUGCCGAUCAAGUCAACGAAAUUGGAAAGAAAACACCCCGACUCACCCCUCAUUAUUCUUGGGGACUUUAACAAAGCUAAACUCAACCACGAACUCCCUAAAUACAAGCAGCACAUCGACUGUCUUACCAGGGAAAAUAAUACUUUAGACCACUGCUACACUACGGUAAAAAACGCAUACCGUGCUAUACCUCGUGCAGCCCUGGGCUCGUCUGAUCACUGCUUAAUUCACUUAAUACCGACGUACAGGCAAGAACUUAAAUGUGCGAAGCCUACAGUGAAAACAGUCAAAAAGUGGACAAAUGAAGGCAAGAUGGAACUUCAAAGCUGUUUUAGACUGCACAGACUGGAGUGUCUUUGAAAAUUCAGCUGGCAGCCUGGAUGAAUAUACGGACACUGUCACAUCCUAUAUCAGUUUCUGUGAAGUUGUGUGUUUACCAACAAAAUCAUUUCGCACAUUCAACAACAACAAGCCGUGGUUCACUGCUAAACUUAAGCAGCUUCGGCAAGCUAAGGAGGAUGCAUAUCAGAGCGGGGACAGGGCCCUGUAUAAUCGAGCUAGAAACCAGCUGAUUAAAGAAAUUAACAUUGCAAAGAGGAACCAUGCAGCAAAGUUGGAAAAACAGUUUAGCGCAAACGACUCUAAAUCAGUCUGGCAUGCAUUCCAAUCGCUGACUAAUUACAAGCGACGAUCCCCCCAAGCUGAGAACAAUAGCACACUAGCCAACGACUUGAAUACCUUCUACUGCAGAUUUGAAAAGGACAGUUUCACACCACACACCCACCCGGCCGCGACCACAAUCACACCUCUGACCUCUGCGUUAACCAUCCAUGAACAGGAUGUGAGACGCAUCUUCAAACAACAAAAGAUUAACAAAGCGGCAGGCCCGGACCAUGUGUCCCCAUCCUGCCUCAAAGUCUGCGCGGACCAGCUCGCUCCAGUCUUCACUCAGAUCUUCAACAGAUCUCUGGAAAUGUGCGAAGUUCCAUCCUGUUUCAAACGCUCCACCAUCACUCCAGUCCCCAAGAAACCUGCAAUCUCGGGUCUGAAUGACUACAGGCCUGUCGCUUUGACAUCUGUGGUCAUGAAGUCCUUUGAACGUCUCGUGCUGGACCACCUCAAGAGUGUCACAGGUCCCCUGCUGGGCCCCCUGCAGUUUGCCUACCAAGCGAACAGGUCUGCGGAUGAUGCAGUCAACAUUGGACUGCACUUCAUCCUAGAACACCUCGUCAGUGCAGGGACCUACGUGGACUUCAGCUCAGCGUUCAACACCAUCAUCCCUGAACUCCUUUCAUCCAAGCUUCUCCAGCUCAGCGUCUCACCUGCCAUCUGCCAGUGGAUUUACAGCUUUCUGACGGGCAGGACACAGCAGGUCAGGCUGGGGGAGGCCACCUCAUCCACACGCAGCAUCAGCACUGGGGAGCCCCAAGGUUGUGUCCUCUCUCCGCUGCUCUUCUCUCUCUACACGAACGACUGCACCUCAGCGAACCCGACUGUCAAACUCCUGAAGUUUGCAGAUGACACCACUGUCAUCGGCCUCAUCAAGGACGGUGACGAGUCUGCAUAUCGACAGGAAGCGGAGCGGCUGUAGCUGUGGUGCGGCCGACACAACCUGGAGCUGAACACGCUCAAGACUGUAGAGAUGAUCGUGGACUUCAGGAGGCAUCCUUCGCCACAGCUGCCCCUCACGUUUUCCAGCUGCCUUGUGUCAACCGUCGAGACCUUCAAGUUCCUGGGAAUUACAAUCUCUCAGGACCUGAAGUGGGCGACCAACAUCAACUCCGUCCUCAAAAAGGCCCAGCAGAGGAUGUACUUCCUGCGGCUUCUGAAGCACGGCCUGCCACCGGAGCUGCUGAGACAGUUCUACACAGCGGUCAUCGAAUCAGUCCUCUGUUCUUCCAUCACAGUCUGGUUUGGUGCUGCUACAAAAAAGGACAAACUCCGACUGCAACGGACAAUCAAAACUGCUGAAAGGAUUGUCGGUACCCCCCUACCCACCCUUGAGGACUUGCACGCUGCCAGAACUAAGACAAGGGCGUGCAAAAUCCUCUCGGAUCCUCCGCACCCCGGUCACCAGCUCUUCCAGCUCCUUCCCUCAGGUGAUGAUGUCAAAGAUGUGGAAGAGAGCAAAUUACCAGGUGGUCCACAUGAGGAAGACAGUGACUGUCCUAGGGACUCGGGCUGCUUCAUCCCGUCCGAGUGCUCAGACAGCAAGGAGGAUGCAGAGCAGCUCAC